rnacentral:tRNA from 1 species
UCCCGUGUGGCUCAGUUGGUAGAGCAUGGUGUUUGCAACGCCAGGGUUGUGGGUUCGAUUUCCACGGGGGAU